CAUGCAAGUCUAAGUACGAGCUCUCGUACAGUGAAACUGCGAAUGGCUCAUUAAAUCAGUUAUGGUUCAUUUGAUCGUACAGUUUACUUGGAUAACUGUGGUAAUUCUAGAGCUAAUACAUGCGAGAAGCGCCGACCUCGCGGGAGGCGUGCAUUUAUCAGACCAAAAACCGGCCGCGUCUUCGGGCGCGUUCGCCUUGGUGACUCUGGAUAACUUUGCGGAUCGCACGGUCUAGCACCGGCGACGGAUCAUUCAAGUGUCUGCCCUAUCAACUUUCGUCGGUACGGUAUUUGCCUACCGAGGUUCUUACGGGUGACGGGGAAUCAGGGUUCGAUUCCGGAGAGGGAGCCUGAGAAACGGCUACCACAUCCAAGGAAGGCAGCAGGCGCGCAAAUUACCCAUUCCCGACGCGGGGAGGUAGUGACGAAAAAUAACAAUGCAGGACUCGUUCGAGGCCCUGUAAUUGGAAUGAGUACACUUUAAAAGCUUUAACGAGUAUCCAUUGGAGGGCAAGUCUGGUGCCAGCAGCCGCGGUAAUUCCAGCUCCAAAAGUAUAUAUUUAAGUUGUUGCGGUUAAAAAGCUCGUAGUUGGAUUUUGGGCGCAGGCGGCCGGUCCGUCGCAAGGCGUGUACUGGACGUCCUGGCCUUCCCUCCGGUUCUCCGCCGGUGCUCUUGACUGAGUGUCGGCGGCGGCCGGAACGUUUACUUUGAAAAAAUUAGAGUGUUCAAAGCAGGCUCUCGAGCCUGGAUAAUGGUGCAUGGGAAUAGGAAUAGGACCUCGGUUCUAUUUUGUUGGUUUUCGGAGCGCCGAGUAAUGAUUAAUAAGGACAGACGGGGGCA
rnacentral:ncRNA from 1 species